GACGAACGCUGGCGGCGUGCCUAAUACAUGCAAGUCGAACGCUUCUUUUCUACCGAGUGCUUGCACUCACUUGAAAAGAGGAGUGGCGGACGGGUGAGUAACACGUGGGUAACCUGCCCAUCAGAGGGGGAUAACACUUGGAAACAGGUGCUAAUACCGCAUAACAGUCGACACCGCAUGGUGUUGAUUUGAAAGACGCUUUCGGGUGUCACUGAUGGAUGGACCCGCGGUGCAUUAGCUAGUUGGUGAGGUAACGGCUCACCAAGGCCAUGAUGCAUAGCCGACCUGAGAGGGUGAUCGGCCACACUGGGACUGAGACACGGCCCAGACCCCUACGGGGGGCAGCAGUGGGGGAUAUUGCACAAUGGGCGCAAGCCUGAUGCAGCAACGCCGCGUGAAGGAAGACGGUUUUCGGAUUGUAAACUUCUGUUCUUAGUGAAGAAGAAUGACGGUAACUAAGGAGCAAGCCACGGCUAACUACGUGCCAGCCGCCGCCGUAAAAC
rnacentral:rRNA from 1 species